CUAUUGGUCGAACAGGGGACCAAUGAGAGCGCACCUCCUUUCUGCUUUACUACUCUCGCUGACUGCUGCAGCGGCUGUUCAUUCAUUGGUUUUCAGCCACUGCUCUUCGGUACAAAUCCAGGCGCGAAAAGUCUACUAUGGGGCAGAAUCACUUUAUCCAGUUUCAAAAUUAGAAACCGGAACACAUAUGCACCAUACAUUUUCUUUUUAGUUUAAAGGGUAAAAGACAUGCAAAGAAAGGAAAAUGUGGAGGAGGACUUCGUUCACAUGAGGUAUUUCGAGGCAGUUCGCAUGAAUGUGUUGUAUACUGAACAUUUUCUGAUUCUGAAAACUUAGUUGAUUAUUACAGAAUAUUAUUUUAUGCGUUUAGAUAGGCAGUCCUUUUGUCUGGGACGCAUGUGGGGAUUCUCCUCCCCUCAUUCGUUGGUCAGAUCGGAAGCUAAUUUUCACACCAUUGCCCCCCUUUUGCACCGUCCAUUUCCUAUAACGUUAGUCAACUUUCAUAUAGACUUUGAUAAUGAAUAAGUACUUUAUAGAAUCACUAAACUUAUACGUACAGCAUGUUUGUGGGGUUGCUUUAAAAUGCAUGUUAUUGGAAAGGAAUGCGACCCGUUGCUCCACCCGUCAGGGGGGACGUUUUCUAUAGGAAAACAUUGUUUAUGUAGGCUAGUAUGCUUAUUGAGGGUGGCAUAUGUCGGUUUGACGAAAAAUAUCUGCGGGUUUUCAUUAAAAGCACCAGGAUAAUUUGCUGUUUAUGCAGAAUUAGGAACCCAGACGAUAACACACAUACGUUUUAAAAAUAGCCUAUAUAUUAUAUACAAACAAAAGGCUAACAAAAGCAAAAAAAAUCUGCUUUCGCUAUCGUCGAAGAACGCUGGAAUUAAGCACUGUGUGAGUUGAAAAGUACUUUUUGUUCCGUUUCAGAUUUCAGUUAUAUUUUUUUGCGUGUUUUCAGCCCAUGCUUCCUGUUGAGCGAAUGUAUGGAACAUUCUGUGCCGUCUUCGCCAUGUUCAUGCGAAUAAAUUGCUUUGAGAAACUCUCAUGUAAGUUUCGUGCAUAGCAAGCCGUUUUGUGUCGUGUAAACGCUGUUUUUUAACCAGUAAUUUAUUGGAAACAGACUUAUUCUUCUUUCAUAUGGAUAUUGUUUUAAUGAUAUUUUUUUGACAGUUUAGUCAUGUUUAUGUUCUUUGCUGUAUUAACCACGGUGUAUUUAUACAGAAAAUGGCGGUACCCAGUCACAUCUUCCAAUUCUUUUUUGUCUAAACUGCUUUCUGUGUUCACGUUGAAGAAUUCAUAUAGUUCAUAUAUUUGCUUUAACAAGCACAUACAACAAACUUCUUUAGGUUACUAAUAUAAUCCUCAGGAAGGUUUUGAGUGUUUAGUCAUUAGUUGUUUAGACUGAAGGUUGCGUACGUUCAUCUAGUUAUUCAUUCACUUUAUACUGUUUCGCUAUUUUGAAGAAUGUUUGUUUUUGUUUUGUUUGUUUUUUUACUUUAAAAAAUGUCAAAUGUAAAAUUAAAAGUUAUGUAAUUGAAAAUUUGUAUUAUUAUUGUUCUCUACACCAUGUAAAGUUUGAAGUUUUACAUAUUUUCUGUGAUGUUUUAAUUUGAGAUAUUGGUGUUUUGUUAAGGAAUAUGAAAUAAUGAUUAUAAUGGUGAUCUGUAAAAGCAAAUAAACACAACAAAAAGCUAAAUAAACCUUGGCCUACAUAAGUUAUUUGUAGGCCAUGGCCUAUAUAAGUCUAUCCUUGUAUAGUCUCUGAGAAUUUGAUUGUUGAAAAACAUGUUUAUUUACAUUUAUGUUUUAUGAGUGGAUAUCAAAAUUAAGAUUUACCAGUAUUCGUCUCAAAUCAUUUUAAGAGAACAGUUAGCAUAACCUAUGUGAUGAGGUGGGCCUGACCUUUGACUGUGGGGCCUCAAGAAUCAAAGCACUGCAAACUUUCCUCGUAAGCUAUGAACAGAUGAUUGGAAAUAAUAAGUUGUGUUAUGUAAAUGUUUGAUAACAUGCUUGGUUAGAGGCCUGUUUGAGUGCAGUGUGUAAUGUCUGAAGAUCUUAACAGAGCUGUAAAACAUGUCUAAUCCUUUACUCAAUGUCUCAAACAGAACAAAGCUUGAUAGACCUUAGGUGUCACACACUUAAAAAUAUAUAUAAAGUGUUUCAUAGCCUACAAAGGCUUUAAGGGUUAAGAAUGCCCUCCAUUCCAGGAAAUUAUUUUUAUAAAGCACAAUCAUUAGAAUAAAUUGUACCUUAUGCAAUCAUGAUAUUUUGAGUGGUUAAUUUAAAUCCAGAAUUUAUAGCUGUGUAGUUCGUUCAGAAAUGGAUACAUUAUUUUCUUUUUUCUGUCUUAAUGGGUGUAGUUGCCAUUGAAGACAUGGGAGGUCAUAUAAUGUGCUCUAAUAUCCUGAUGUUCAUUUGAAUUGAGGGGAUGUUUAUAGGUGGCCAGGUUGAUGUGCAUUGAAGAAAAUCUAAAUUCAAGGAGAUUCUACAGAGACUUUUAUUUAAUGUGCCCAACAGUCAUUUGAACGAUUUGAUUAUUUGAAAUUUUGAACUAUUUUAAUUGCUGGAAUGGUCUGGAAAUGUAUUAACAAAAAUGAGUAAAACAAGAAAAAUAUUGUAAGAUAUUGUACACAAGUAGUGGGACUUAAGUAUUUAGCUUACUCUGUGUGCAAGUUGACUUAUGUGAGAGGAUGGCAUUCGUUUUUGUGAUAUCCAUUUACACUACAUUUGGGUUUGUUAAAGUUUCUCAAGCAAAUAUGUAGAUUGCAUAUUUAAAGAUUUUAAAGUCAUUGAUUUUCAAGAAUUUUAAAAAGCAAACAAUUGCAGAGAAAUACACGAUUUGAAGAUGACAUAAGUACUAAUUCAAUAAAUCACAGCACAAUGAAAGAAUAGUCUCCUAUGCUCAUAUUAAAAAUGUCUAAUAAGAAACAAUAUUGAUAUGAUCAAGGAGCUUUUUUUGUCAUUAUAACAAUAUACUGACAGUUGAUGCAUCCUGUUGAUUGUGCAUAAAAGAUAACCUCAUGUAUAACUUUGUACAAGAAGUAGCACAAUUAUUAGAGUUCAGUGACUUGUAAAAGAGGCAGUUAGCGAUUUAGAACUUUUAAGUCCUCCAAAGUCUGUUUUAUAGUCCUUGUUUUCACAUUUUUAUGUGUGUAUUCAAAUGUUUUUAAAUAACAUUUUAGGGGUGUUGGUCUCAUGUCACUUCCUGGCCACGUCAGGGAGUGAAAUCUAAACAAUGGUCUUGUCUCAGAACUUCCUUACUCUUCCACUCCACUGAUCUGAAAUGCCUGGAUAGGUGAAAACAAUAUGGCCGACAGUCUAAUGUAGCCAAGUGCUCCAUACUGCUCUAAUGGAGUACCUUGUGCUUGUCUGGUAGUUUAAUAUGGAUCAACCAUUGUAUUGUACAAAUUAUUUCUGUAUGAUUUGUAUUUAAUCUUUAUAGAAGGUGCAAAUAAAGGCAUUUUUUGUUCACAUUUUAUUGUAACAAUCUGAUAAUGCAAAGUAUCAAUGUUCUUCUUUUCACCUGUUACUAUUAUUAAUAAUUAUGACCCAAUUAUUGCAUUUCAGAUAUUGGUAUGUGUUUUAAGUUUAAAACCAUUUCGAAAAACCUUUUUCACAGAUAUUCACAAUUAUUACUUGCUAGAAACUGCAUUGCAGAACUUAUUUCUUUUUCUUAUUUCUGUUUUUCAUACAUUUUUUGUCUAUGGUUUUUAAAUUCAAUAUAUUCAAAAUGUUAAAACAAGUUGACAAUUCCUGUAUUGUACAUAACUACUAAAAAAAAAAAAUUUAUUAUGCUUUCAUUCCCAGCUUUGAAGAACAUAAGACUAAGUAGCACAUCAAAGCAUGUCUUGUCAGAAUAAAAAGCACAUUUAUUUUGAGGUCUUUAUUUCUUGAAAAAGACACAAAGCAACACAAAUUACUGCUGAAAAUAAAGGUAUUUGUCACAGAUUAAUGGAGGCAAUCGCAGCCUGCUUUCUGAAGUACAUGAUGCUCUGCCUUACAGAUGUACAGCAACUCACACAAACUCUCAGUACUGCAUACAUACCCGCUAAAAGAUGCCCAGUAUAUAGAAAAACUCAUACCACACCAAAUGAACACACUACCAAAACCCCCCCCCCCCCCACACA